rnacentral:rRNA from 1 species
AACGGGUGAGUAUAAUGUGGGAAUCUGCCUUUUGGUUUGGAAUAACACGGGGAAACUUGUGCUAAUACCGAAUAAGCCUUCACAGGGAAAGUUUUAAUGCCGAAAGAUGAGCCCGCACUUGAUUAGCUAGUUGGUAAGGUAAAAGCUUACCAAGGCAACGAUCAAUAGCUGUUCUUAGAGGAAGACCAGCCACAUUGGGACUGAGACACGGCCCAGACUCCUACGGGAGGCAGCAGUGGGGAAUCUUGCACAAUGGGGGAAACCCUGAUGCAGCGAUGCUGCGUGAGUGAAGAAGGCCUUUGGGUUGUAAAACUCUUUCGUCGGGGAAGAAAAUGACUGUACCCGAAUAAGAAGGUCCGGCUAACUUCGUGCCAGCAGCCGCGGUAAUACGAAGGGACCUAGCGUAGUUCGGAAUUACUGGGCUUAAAGAGUUCGUAGGUUGUUGAAAAAGUUGGUGGUGAAAUCCCAGAGCUUAACUCUGGAACUGCCAUCAAAACUUUUCAGCUAGAGUUUGAUAGAGGAAAGCAGAAUUUCUAGUGUAGAGGUGAAAUUCGUAGAUAUUAGAAAGAAUACCAAUUGCGAAGGCAGCUUUCUGGAUCAUUACUGACACUGAGGAACGAAAGCAUGGGUAGCGAAGAGGAUUAGAUACCCUCGUAGUCCAUGCCGUAAACGAUGUGUGUUAGACGUUGGA